UACGGAAGGGGGCUAGCGUUACUCGGAUUGACUGGGCGUAAAGGGGCGCGUAGGCGGUUUUGUACAGUCAGACGUGAAAUUCCUGGGCUCGAACCUGGGGGCUUGCGUUUGAUACGUGCAGACUUGAGUUCGGAAGAGGGUCGUGGAAUUCCCAGUGUAGAGGUGAAAUUCGUAGAUAUUGGGAAGAACACCGGUGGCGAAGGCGGCGCUCUGGACCGAGACUGACGCUGAGGCGCGAAAAGCGUGGGGGAGCAAACAGG
rnacentral:rRNA from 1 species